AUGGCAGUGUUUGCAGCAGCCUGUGUGGUCUGCCCUCGUGGCCUUAGCAGCCCGUCUGGAGAACUGGCAGGAGCGAGCUGCCCUGGAGAUCUCAGUCCCCAGGCAGGCUCUGUAACAGGCCCACCAAGGAGUCAUGGGGCUGCUACACAGCUGCAGUGAGCAGGCCAGCUCAGGGAGAUCUGCUAUGUGUCACUAUGCCUCUGUAUUUCACAUCCCUUUUAUGAGUUUGCCAGAGGCAGCAGAAGCCAUAGAGGACCUUUCUCCAAGGCAGAGAAUGCAGAUGAUCCCACUCUGAAGAGAGACGAUGCAAAGCACAAAGGUUUCAGCGUACCCACAUGGUACCACAUGGAGCUUUGGGAGGCACAGUGCUCUCACUCUGUAAUAAUGCUGAUUGAUUGCCACAGCGUUAUGGAUCCCAGCUCAUCUGGAACCCAUGAGAAACUCCUUUUCAUACUAAACACUGACUUCUCAAAAAAGUUCAAGUGCUUCAUAAGCGUAAAUUGAUUCAGCCUAACAGUGUUUCUAUGACGUGGGAAAAUCUGUGAUGCUUAACUGACACCACUUACUUGACUUGCUAAAACUGCAAACUGAAUCAGUAAUAGAGAUAAGAACCGAACUCAGGAUCCUUAUUUUUGACCGCCUCGCUCCAUACAGUAAAUGCAGACAAGGCAAACUCCCAGUACUCAACAGAACAAGUUACUGGACUGUGGCCAGAGCACCUCUGUAUAAUAGUGCAAAAGCAAUUCCUUUUGUGAAUUCCUCCAACCCCUUCAAAACUAGCUUUAAAGAGGGGGAAAUGCUCUAAAAACUGUCUUAUAAAUAUACCACAGCUUCUCUUCUGCUCUUUUAAAUUUAUUUUUUUCCAUAACCAUGGAUGGCAUUAUUUAAUAACAUUCAGAUACUGGGAAUCUGACAUGGGUGGCUAAGUUAGCUGACUAGUCUUUAGGUUCCCUCUAUAGUCCAUAGGCAGGUGUGCAUCUAGGAGGUUCUUCCAGAGAAUGAUUCAGAGCAGAAAUCUAAGUCAGGUGCUCAGAAUUGAGCUGACCGAGUGCCUAAAGUCUUGACAGCGUCUUGUUCCCUGACUGCAACAGGUAGAGCUGGGAUUCAUCUGCCGGUACAAUAUAGAAGAAGUUUAAUACCUAUGGCAGAGAAAAGAUCGAGAGGUGAUGAUCCUUUUUAUGAUAUGCUUGUAGAUCUCGGAGGGCUCUAAGCAGUAGUACCCGAAGUAUUGUGGAACUGAAGAAAGAAAGAAAGAGAAUAAAUGUAUAGUGGAGAAAUCUGUGUUCUGGGCA
rnacentral:lncRNA from 1 species